rnacentral:snRNA from 1 species
UGUUGUUAAAACAUUGUUCCGAAAUUGGAACAAUAUAGAGAAGAUUAGCGUUGCUCUGUGCAAGAAUGAGAUGCAAAAUCGUGAAGCGUUGCACAUUAUU